UUAGGUUAGAAUCCUAAAACUCACGAAUAGACGUAGUUUAAGCCUUGGUAUGUAAUAACACUAUGUAUAACAGUGGUGACUGCUAACGUUUCGUUAACCCAGGGUACUUGUCGUCUGUCGAGACUGAAGUUCAUUAAUGUUAAUUGCCAUGACUCCCAUUGUCAUCCAAACGAGCAAGGAACAAUUCCUCGUGGUUGAAUUCGAGAAAUUUCAAACUUCCCGCGCACUGGACCGAGACUACGUUCACGGCCAAUAGGAUCGCUUAUACCGCUCUUACCAACGGGAAUUCUAAAGAGUGCAGACAUCAUUUUCAAUCCUAUUAUCUGCCGUUUCCUUGGUCGUGCUCUUCUUUCCGGAAGGAGGAAUGCCUGAAAUUAUUUCCGCCAUACUUACCCGGUCAGCGAAACACUCUUGUAAAACCUAUAGUACCUUUGGUGGCGUCUGAGAAUGGAAUUCCUAGUGCCAGAUGGAAUAUCGCCAGCAUGCUGUAUAGUCCGCACGAAUACAGGAGAAGAGUUCUUGAUCUACAGUAUUUGAACGUAUCUGUACAUACAGUAUAUCUACGAGUAAUAAAUGAGAUUUUUGAUCCAGUUCAAGGUCGGCCGAUCAUGAAAAAAAAGUGCCCGAAGGAAACUCACCUCGACGCACGUAUCGAUCCUUUACUAAAAUAAUUAACUUCUAGAUAUCCUGAUUUGUGCUCCCUGUCAUCUUUUUUCCAUCCUUAUGACACUUCACCCGGUACAUAACCUGUCUACGUAUAUCGACUAUGAAGCAGCGUACUUCUGUAUACGAGUACUCGCCGUCUCGUCUCCACAAGACAAUACCCUGGGUAAGGUCGCACGUGUCGGAACCCUUGGCUCCCAUUAUACACGUGCCUACGUCGAUUCUGAGAGACAACUUGACCUGAGGAAUCGCGAGCAUUGCAAUGCACAUGAUUUGUACCCGUGAUAAAGGUGCGAUAUCUGUUUGUCAAGAAGUCCUGAAUAUAUAUCGGUAGGAAUUUUAAGUACGCAUAUAGAACAUUAUUGGGCAUCGUGAUGCGAAUUUCAAAUGAUAAUCAGAUUAAAUGAUAAGAGUUCUAAGGCUUGUUGUGUAGAAGCUUUGCAGAACAAAAGCCUCUUUGGAGCCAAAUGGCAAGAUGACAGAACAUAAACCGUACCACGCGGUGCAAAGUACGUAGUAAAGUGUACACACACAUAUAUAUACAAUGUGCAUUAUAAUUGCGUAACCAGUAGCGAGCCCAGGGAGCCUUGGUUAUACAGAAGUAUGCAAAAGUACGUUGCGAGAACUUAGAUACGUGAAUCCAUUGGGAAUACGUAUCACGAUGUAGUUAAGAGUCUCAGUGAGGAUGCAAGACAAAAGCGAAUGGCGGAAGAUAACGUUUCUGUUAGUGGCUAUGGCGGUACAUGCAUUGGUCAACAGGACGAAUUCAUUUUAAAAGUCUGUGGAUGCUACUAUUGGGCCGUAGCCAGACCGAUAACAGUUUCCUGGAUAAUUUUCCUGGAACGCUACCUGCGGAAUGAAUGUUUUUUCUGGGGUAGCAUCUUCAGAGUUUAUUUGGAUCUGAAUUAUAGGCGGCUGUUCGCGUACGUGUUUAUGUAUUGGAAAAGGAUUGACGACAAUUGGGUAUUAAUCAGGUGAAAAUAUAACAAUGAACAUGCUAACGUCACGCGUUAUAAUUCUGAAGAAUGCGCGGCUUGCGAUUGGUACGUCAUGGGAUACGAUUAUUGAAAUGUUGAUUGAUUUAAAUCUGACUCUUAUGGUAAUACACGUGACGUCAUACAUAUGAUCGAUUACGUUUAAUAAUUGAAUUUGGCAGAGUACACGUGAAAAUCUAUCACGUUGUAGGCAAAAUAGGGACGGGCUCCUUCGGCUUGCGGUUUUUUUCAUCGUCAAAAAAUACUGAGAACUACUGUUAUUUCGAACGCCAAGUACAUCGACGAGACAUUAACAAGACCCUGCGUGGAUUUGACCAGCUUCAAUGAAAAUUACGACUGCUAUUCGUAUAUGAGAUUCUGACAGAUGUUAUUCAAAUUUAAUAUCGUCCCGGGUGUCAUUUAUCUACUUCUAUGAAUGACUGUACACGCGGUUUCUCUAUUAUAGUUUCCUAUGGCACGACGUACGCAAUAAGAGCGGAUACUCAUUUUAUAUUGAAGAUCGUAAAGGGACAUUUCUAUGGAGCGACACUAAAGAGUAAAUUCCACUGCAAGAAGAUAAAGGAAAGACCGACAGUCUUAUCGAUGUUGUAAAUUCAAUAUACAUAUUUGUUCAGACGAUGCACGAAAUCCACUGUAUGCCCAAUCUAUUUGCGUGGGCGAUAAUAAGAAUGACGAUCAAACGUGAAGACGUUGAUAAGUAUUAUCAAAAUUUUAUAUAGUAUAGUGUGUAAUAUAUACAUAGUUAUUCAGGAAUAACGCACCUAACCUAAAGAUAGUUCUUGCUAUUUGACUUCUAUCAAUUCGUAUAGUAGAGCUAUCUUCAGGUGGCGCAAUAGUCCUGAGUAACCUUGUAACCCUAUAUAAUUUUUAAACAAAGGAAUGGUCGCCCAAUUUUUUUCUCCAUUUGAAAUGCAUUGGGUAUCAGCUGUCUCGGACACUCAACGCACCUAUUCCUGGGUUAACGAUGAUAAAGUAAUAACGAUUGACUGUGUAAAGAUAAAAAGUUUAAGCUAUCCGUUAAUUCCUUCUUUAAUAUUGUCAACCGUAAAAAAAAGAGCCACGUUAUCGCUUUGCCAGUGUCACAUGCAGUUUUGUAAUGAUGUAUAAAAAUCAGUACACGAAUUCUUACCGUAG